rnacentral:rRNA from 1 species
AUAAUGGGUCAGCGACUUAUAUUCUGUAGCAAGGUUAACCGAAUAGGGGAGCCGAAGGGAAACCGAGUCUUAACUGGGCGUUAAGUUGCAGGGUAUAGACCCGAAACCCGGUGAUCUAGCCAUGGGCAGGUUGAAGGUUGGGUAACACUAACUGGAGGACCGAACCGACUAAUGUUGAAAAAUUAGCGGAUGACUUGUGGCUGGGGGUGAAAGGCCAAUCAAACCGGGAGAUAGCUGGUUCUCCCCGAAAGCUAUUUAGGUAGCGCCUCGUGAAUUCAUCUCCGGGGGUAGAGCACUGUUUCGGCAAGGGGGUCAUCCCGACUUACCAACCCGAUGCAAACUGCGAAUACCGGAGAAUGUUAUCACGGGAGACACACGGCGGGUGCUAACGUCCGUCGUGAAGAGGGAAACAACCCAGACCGCCAGCUAAGGUCCCAAAGUCAUGGUUAAGUGGGAAACGAUGUGGGAAGGCCCAGACAGCCAGGAUGUUGGCUUAGAAGCAGCCAUCAUUUAAAGAAAGCGUAAUAGCUCACUGGUCGAGUCGGCCUGCGCGGAAGAUGUAACGGGGCUAAACCAUGCACCGAAGCUGCGGCAGCGACGCUGAUGCGUUGUUGGGUAGGGGAGCGUUCUGUAAGCCUGCGAAGGUGUGCUGUGAGGCAUGCUGGAGGUAUCAGAAGUGCGAAUGCUGACAUAAG